AGGCCUCCACACACCGGCGCCGCAGCGGCGCGGCGCAGCGCGCAUUUUACGCGCGUCAAAAGCACGCCCCGAGCACCAACAGGAGGCGGCGCGACGGCCGCGCUGCAGUAUAAAAUCAGGAAGUCACCUGUCAAUCAACCGCAGCAAAGAGACGAAACGCAAUGGAAUAAAUAACUGUUGCCAGACAGAGGGGGGCUGCCCUUCUUCUCCUGCGCUGUAGGCGGGCAAGGAGAAGACGAAGGGUUUGGGUGCACCUCAUCAAUGAACAGAGACAAGAACAGGGGGUAUGCCACAAUCUGGUCCAGGAGCUCCGUGCAGAUCCUGAGAGGCACGCCAAUAUUUCAAUUCGCCACUAAGUGUGCAAUGGCAGAACCAUAUGGUGCAGCCUAUAUGAUGACCUAUAAUCUAGUUAUUAUCCCUUUCUGGUAUACUCUUUUGCAUAUAUAUAUAUAUACUUUUUUUUUAUCCCUCGGGAUAAAUACAGUGAUGUUAUUGCUGUGCUGGAUUCAGUAGCCAGUGUAUUUUAUUUGAGUGCUCGAGACACUUAAUGUUAUUUUUCCUUAAAUCCAGAGAGACAGUUAAUACAUGAUCUGAUACCAGAGAGACAGUUAAUACAUGACAAUGCAUUUUUGAGCUUUGCCUGUGUUUCCUUUUACUUAUCUAUUUUAUUGUAUGAGAAUGUUUCUAUGUGAAGCACUUUGAGUCUGCUUCAUGUAUUAAAAGUGCUAUAUGAAUGAAGUUGCCUUGCCUUAAAUAAAAAAAUAUAUAUUACAAGUAA